UGUUAUUCCCGGAAGGGAAAGAGGCUUCCUGGGAUUCCUUCGUGCGGAAAGGAGAGCUUUGUGCGCGUAACGGGCCCGGCAGGAAGGCAGAACAAUGGCAUCAGGGGUGCCGUCUGGGCCAUAACUUCCUUGUGGCACAGCGGAAGGAGCUGCCAUGCACUCAUCUCAGCUUUUGUUCUUAGGAGAUGUCAAGUUGACCAAGUAAGGCUAUGAACUCUGCAGUAUCCCUUGCAUGAUGCCUUGAGUCCUGCA